GGCUCUCCGCUCCUCAAACGUGGGUUGAGCGUGAAAGAGAGAGCAUCUGCGUCCGCGUGCACCUCCCCCGAAGAACAGACAACACACACAAAAAAAUAAAUAAAAAUGGAGAAGAAAAUGGAGUUAAACGGCCACGCGCUGCCGGAGUCCAAAUCCACGGAACCGAUUUUGGAGAAGAUUACGCGCGGGAAAAAAGUGGGGGAUUUUUUACGCAAGAACAUGCUGGUGAUCCUGACCGUUUCUGGGGUGCUCGUGGGCGUGGGACUGGGCAUGGCGGUGCGCACGAUGUCCCUCACCAAGGCGCAGAUGACAUACUUCGCGUUCCCCGGCGAGAUGUUGCUGCGCAUGCUGAAGAUGAUCAUCCUGCCGCUGGUGGUGUGCAGCCUGGUGUCCGGAGCCGCGAGCCUGGACACGCGCUCGCUGGGGAAGCUGGGGGGCAUCGCCGUGGGGUACUUCCUCGUGACCACGCUGAUCGCCUCGGGGAUCGGGGUGACGCUCGCCUUCAUCAUCAAACCCGGGGUGGGCGCCGGGGCUCUGAACACCAACCACCUGAGUCUGGAGAGCGUCAGCAGCGACAAGGAGACGGCGGACUCCUUCUUGGAUUUGGCCAGAAACCUCUUCCCGUCCAACUUGGUGGCCGCUGCUUUCCGCUCGUAUGCCACGGAUUACAAGAUGGUGGCCGUCGGGAACAUGACCAACGGAACCAAGAUCUACCAGAAGGUCCCGUUCGGCACAGAGACCGACGGCAUGAACAUCCUGGGCCUGGUGCUGUUCGCCAUGGUGUUCGGCGUCGCUCUGAGGAAACUGGGCGAGGAGGGGGAGGAGCUCAUCCGCUUCUUCAACGCCUUCAACGAGGCCACCAUGGUCCUGGUCUCCUGGAUCAUGUGGUACAUCCCGUUCGGCAUCAUGUUCCUCGUGGGCAGUAAGAUCGUGGAGAUGGAGGACGUGGUUUUGUUGGUGACCAGUUUGGGGAAGUACAUCUUCGCCUCGAUCCUGGGGCACAUCAUCCACGGCGGAAUCGUGCUCCCGCUCAUCUACUUCGGAUUCACUCGGAAAAACCCCUACAGCUUCCUGUCCGGCCUCAUCACGCCCUUCACCACCGCCUUCGCCACCUGCUCCAGCUCGGCGACCCUGCCCUCCAUGAUCAAGUGCGUGGAGGAGAAUAACGGGGUGGACAAACGCAUCAGUCGCUUCAUUCUGCCCAUCGGAGCCACGGUCAACAUGGACGGAGCGGCCAUCUUCCAGUGCAUCGCCGCCGUGUUCAUCGCCCAACUCAACAACCACCAGCUCAACGCCGGAGAGAUCUUCACCAUUCUAGUGACGGCCACAGCGUCGAGUGUUGGAGCGGCCGGGAUCCCCGCUGGAGGAAUCAUCACCAUCGCCAUCAUCCUGGAGGCCAUCGGGCUGCCCACCAACGACCUCUCCCUCAUGCUCGCCGUCGACUGGAUCGUUGACCGCACCACUACAGUCGUGAACGUAGAGGGCGACGCGCUGGGAGCCGGGAUCCUGCACCACAUCAACGAGCAGGAGCAAAAGAAGCUGCAGCACCCGGAGGACCAGAGGCACCCGGAGGAGCUGCAGGAGGUGCGGGUGGAGGCCGUGGCGAACACUCAGGCCCAAGAGGAAACGUCUCCCCUCGUCACCCACCAAAACCUGAGCCAGGAGGGGGCGCCGGAGGCCAUCGAGUCUGUGCUCUGAACACUGUUUACACAAAUAAGUCCCAGUCCAGUCUCUGUGUUCUCGGGUUUGUGCGACGUGAAGGUUUGACCAGUUUUACUCCGGUGUUCUGUCAGCUCACACGUCACCAACAAAACAACCCAACAGUUUAAGGAAAUCUAAACUUUUUUUAGGCACCUUAAUCCGUGUGUCAUUUGUUUAUGUUUUUCAAAAUAAAACCAAAAAUAAGAAAACAAACAAAACAAAAAAAAAAACUAUUUUCUUCAUUAUUUGUCUCCAAAUCCAAAAUAAAAAAACAGAUAAUGAUUUUGUUUUUGAUUUUGUGUUUAAAUGAAAAAUGGAAAAAUCGGAUAAAGGCCGUUUCCCGUUUCUGUGACUUAAACUGUGAUGCCGGACAGAACCAGGACUGAACCAGGACUGAACCAGGACUGAACUAAGACUAAACCAGGACUGAUCCAGGACGGGCUAGAGGUGUGGCUGCGUCGGGUGAUCAGGACAGAGAGCGGGACCAGACCGCGGCUGAGACCAGGACUCAGAGUGGUUUAGUUUUAGUUUUAGUCCUGUUUUAGCCCAGGUUUAAUCCUGUUUUAGUCCUGUUUUAGUCCUGGUUUAGUCCAGGUUUAGUCCUGUUUUAGUCCAGGUUUAGUCCUGGUUUAGUCCAGGUUUAGUCCAGGUUUAAUCCGCCGUUAUCCGUUUUUUCCAUUACUCAUUUAAACACAAAAUUGAAAACUGAAAAAACAAAUCCUAAGUUUUUCAUUUUGAUUUUGGAAACAAACCAUGAAGAAAACUGUUUUUUCAUUUUCUUAUUUUUGUUUUAAUAUUGAAAAUGAAUAAACAAACGAUACACAGAUUCAUCUCGUCCAGGGUUGGGACUUAAUGUUCUGUUGAGAUCAUGACAUGUUUUUAUAUUCACCUGCUUUCAUUGCCUGGUCUAAAAAUCAGAUUUUUGAGAAAACAACUUGAAUUUAGACCUAAAACUAAACCAAAAACACAUCCAGCUUUUCUUUGACUUUCCUUUGAUGCAUCAGAGGCUGUGAUCACACUAAGCCCCGCCCCUGGACGAUUUGCGAAUUAAGGAAGAUGCUUUUUUUAAUUUAAACUUUUAUUUAGUGUAGAUAUAAACGGUCCAAUGAAGUUUACCUUAACCACGAGAUCAAAUACGUGAAUGAAACCACUAAACGUUUUUAUUUUAAACAAUCUUAAAUCUUGGCUUGUUCUCGUGGAGCCAAUCUCAUCUGGUUUUGUGAGAAUUUGUCCCAAUAUUAUGUUUUAAAGUGUUUAUUUUGAGCUGCUUUUAUGAUAAAUCUGUAUUUGGGGCGAGACACAUUUUGCUCAAAAACAUAAAAAAUCAGGUUCAGACCCUUUAAGUGAAACUAUUCGACUGUUCCCCCUCUGACCUUCGAGAAAAUCGCUCUUUUAUUGGAGCCGUGAAUGAGAUUUCGGACACUUCCGGGGCCCGGUGCCAGACUGGACUUGAGAUCAGACUGUGCCAAAUCUCUCUCUGGUCGUUCUGCUGUUCCCCAAAAAUCACAUGAAUCUAAACCGUGGAUCCACCGACGAGCUGCGAGUCUCAGUGACAUUAUGUAGUGUUCCCCUGGUGGUCGCUUUCUGUACUGCGUUAUUGAGGUCGGUAAUUCCUGGGUUUCGUCCAACAUUUUGAAGACUUUGACCCAAUCAGAAGAUCUAAUAUUUAGUUUUAAAUAGUUUAUCACGAUGAAAACAGUCCCAAUUUUUCAUCAUUCUGAAACCCAGGGAUACGAGCCUUGACGAGGACGAAUGGUGCGUUUGAUUAUCCAUGCGUCUCCCACUCGGAUCUCGGAUAUGACGUCAUGUCCACCCUGCAAGCGUUUUGUUAUGUUUCGUGUGUUAACCGUCUAAAUGAAUCGACAUUUAACAUCUAAUGCGCUAGCUGCUCCGUUCUGAUUUUGCGUGUCAGAGUUGAAGAAAACGUGGACGCCAACCAGAAAUAUUGUUGUUGUUUAUCUUCUUUUACGAACUCUAGGGAUGUUUAGCAACACCUGUUUAAAACAAGUUUUUGUGCAAUAUUUGCCUCUCCGCAAAACCGACCGCCGCAAAACCGACUACCCCAACGCCGACCGUUUCGACGCCGACCACCGCAACACAGACCGCCAUAACGCCGACCUCCUUGACACGACCACCACACCACGGACCGCCGGAACACUGAUCGCUUCAACACGGACCUCCACAACACCGACCGCUGCAACACUGACCAUUUCAACACGGACGGCCACAACACCGACCACCGCAACACCGACCACCGCAACAACGACUGUUUCAACACCGACCACCG